rnacentral:lncRNA from 1 species
GACGCGAUGCUGGGAGUUGAAACGGAAGGUGGGGAUGCGGGCUUCCUUCUUCGGGUGCUGCUGGGAGCUAAAGCAGAAGGUGGAGCCAUUCAUGGAAGAGCUGGGAUUUGGGGGAGGUGGAUCCGUUGAUUUCUUUCUUUGGAUCGAUGGAAGGAUGGGAGCAUGGAGAUGGGCUGACGGCUGGCAGCGACUGUGAGAUCACGGGAUCGUUGCUCUUCCCUUUGACGCGGAAGAGACGGAUGCAGACUUCCU